CGUGUAGGCGGGAAUGUAAGUCGGGCGUGAAAUCCCUAGGCUCAACCUAGGAACUGCACUCGAAACUGCGUUUCUUGAGUGCCGGAGAGGAAAGCGGAAUUCCUGGUGUAGAGGUGAAAUUCGUAGAUAUCAGGAGGAACACCAGUGGCGAAGGCGGCUUUCUGGACGGUAACUGACGCUGAGACGCGAAGCGUGGGGAGCAAACA
rnacentral:rRNA from 1 species